AUGUGUCUAGAUUGUGACCAUGUCUGGUCACAGCUUAGAGGGCUAGCCGUAGACAUUGUCAAAAGAAUGCUAUUUCCUGUAGGUUUUAUAUCCAAGAAGCCGGUUGAGAGUACCCUGGUUAGUGGAGCCUAUAAGCUAUCAGCAACUAUGCGCCCCGCCAAGGCAUGCCCCCUGGAUCGGGCCAUUGGCUUCCUCGUGGCCAUCUUCCAUAAGUACUCAGGCAGGGAAGGCAACAAGAACAGGCUGAGCAAGGAGCUGAAGGCAGUGAUCCAGGAAAACUCACCAUUGGCCCAAAGGGGCAGGAUGCUGACUUUGCAAGCUGAUGGAAGACCUGUAUGUGAGAAAGGACCAGGUGGUAAACUUCCGGGAAUAUGUCACCUUCCCUGGGGGCCUUGGCUUUGAUCUACAAUGAUACCCUUAGGGCUGAAAAUAAAUCAGGAAGGUGGAGACACCCACUAUCUGGACUGCCUAAGUUAAAUCCAGUGGUGGGUAAUUGUUCAAUAAAUACCUUUUCUUGGUCAAAAAAAAAAGGUAUUUUCUGAUCAUUACUUAAUUGAUACUAUCUCUUGGAGAUACUAUUUUUCUAUUAAAUAAGAAAAUAAGAAUUUUUUUCUGUUAUCAUAAGAGAAUGUCUUUUUUAAAUAUUCAAUUUCUGGGCAAUACCAGUAAAUGGAAACUAGAAAUAUUGUAAAUGAAUUCCAUGAUACCACCAAUCAAGAGUUUUACCCAGAAAUUCAAAGGUAGCUUCAAUAUAAAUUAAUCUUAUAAUGUAAUAUUUCACUUAUUGGAAUACAAAUUUAGUAAUGUUAAUCAUUCCUAAUAAAAUUGAGAGUGGUAAAAUAUUUUUGGCAUAUUAAGACACACACUAAAACUAUAAAGAUAUUAGAUACAAAGGGCAAGAACUAAACUAGGAUUCCUGUUAUUACUAAGAAAAAUUGCUUUCUCAAUUUUAUUAAGGAAAUGAGAUAUGAAAGAGAAAUGAAUAAUAUAGAAAGAGGGGAAAUAAAAGUAUGAUUAUUUGUAUGCAACAUAUUUUUUUCCUAGUAAGUCCCAAGGCAUAUACUUAGGUGGCUCAAAAAGAACAACAUCAACAGAAUGAAAAUUCAAAACCAUUGCUAUGUUCCUGCCAUCUGUAUGUUAAAAAAAAUUCUAAAAACAACAACAAAGUUAACAAUUUGGAAAUAAACUUAGGAGGAUAUAUAUAGGUUCUUUAAAUAAAAUGUUAAACAAUAAUUUUAUAUAUUUAAUUUUGAUCAAAAAGUCAAUAGUUGCUUAGAAGUUUCAGGGCCAAAAAAAAAAAAAAAACCCACCA